GCGGGUGUAGCUCAAUGGUAGAGCAGCAGCUUCCCAAGCUGAAUACGAGGGUUCGAUUCCCUUCGCCCGCUCCA
rnacentral:tRNA from 3 species